GUAACAAUCAUUGCUACAACAAAACUUGUUUGGAACCUUGAAGGUGACAUAGAUGGAUGUUGUUUUAUAUUUUGGAGGGGAAGCUGUCAAAGACAUCGAAACAAAACUGAAAAUCCUCAAGUUUAGCUAUAAUUGGGCCGAGGAAGUGGAAGGAUAUGAGAAAAGAAUGAAGGAAGCUGAUCAGAAGAAAGAAGAGACAGCGAAAGAAAUUGCAUCAAAAAAUAACAAGGGAGUCCUACAUUUGUAACUGAUCUAACGAAAGUGUUCCAGAACACAACAAUACUCAAUACAGCGACUGUAAGAAUGUUAAAUUGUUAGGAUUUGGAUUAUUUUAGCCUAAUAGACAUUUGAAAAAAAUAUGGACAUAUACUCAAAAUAAGAAAAUACACAUACAAUUGAUUGUUUAUCAUGAAAAGUAAUAGAGGUAUAUGUAGAGCAAAAAAUUCCCAGAAAGGAUACCUGAAUAA